AAUAGAUACCCGGGUAGUCCACCCCGUAAACGUUGGGAACUAGUUGUGGGGUCCUUUCCACGGAUUCCGUGACGCAGCUAACGCAUUAAGUUCCCCGCCUGGGGAGUACGGCCGCAAGGCUAAAACUCAAAGGAAUUGACGGGGACCUGCACAAGCGGCGGAGCAUGCGGAUUAAUUCGAUGCAACGCGAAGAACCUUACCAAGGCUUGACAUACACCAGAACACCCUGGAAACAGGGGACUCUUUGGACACUGGUGAACAGGUGGUGCAUGGUUGUCGUCAGCUCGUGUCGUGAGAUGUUGGGUUAAGUCCCGCAACGAGCGCAACCCUCGUUCUAUGUUGCCAGCACGUAAUGGUGGGAACUCAUGGGAUACUGCCGGGGUCAACUCGGAGGAAGGUGGGAUGGCGUCAAAUCAUCAUGCCCCUUAUGUCUUGGGCUUCACGCAUGCUACAAUGGCCGGUACAAUGGGCUGCGAUACCGUAAGGUGGAGCGAAUCCCAAAAAGCCGGUCCAGUUCGGAUUGAGGUCCGCAACUCGACCUCAUG
rnacentral:rRNA from 1 species